rnacentral:tRNA from 1 species
UUUCAAGGAACUGUCCUGAGUUUUAUCCAUGCGGAUGGAUGAAUUGGGAUGGUUUUAUAAGAAGUCCUUCGAUGGGAUCGUCGAAGGCACUGUCAACCUGGUGCACCUGUUCAGGCAGGAAGCGCCGUCCACGUAUCCCUUCUGCGAAAGGUGGACUGGAUUGUCAUUGAAAGAUGAUGGUCUGGUUUAUUUUUUGCUGCGACGAUAUCUGCUUGGGGCUAGUAGCUCAGCUGGUUAGAGCACACGCUUGAUAAGCGUGGGGUCGGAGGUUCAAAUCCUCCCUGGCCCACCAUGAUGAUCGGCCGCUUUUUGAGGAAGCGGCUGGUUUGAUGUGAUGGGGGUGUAGCUCAGCUGGGAGAGCACCUGCUUUGCAAGCAGGGGGUCGUCGGUUCGAACCCGAUCACCUCCACCAUUGCGUGUGGUGACUGGCGGUUUGCCGACCGGUUCCCUUAUCGUCGCAUGGGUUAAAAAUUUCCGGUGAUAGUCUGGCCCCGGUCGGGUUCUGAUAUCAUGCGGGAUGGGCCUUCUUGUUGAAGGCUCUGCUAUUUGUUCUUUGUUAUGGUGAAUAUGUUCUGGUGCGCCUCUGCGCAUGCCUUGACCGGUUGUCUGACCGGAUUGACGGGGAGACCUGUCGUCCACGGUGAAGGGUAUCAUGAUCAGAGGCGUUUAAGGUGUGCUGAGUAAAAUCACGCAGAAGCGUUGCACUGAAAGGUGUGGAUGUCUUCUGUGCAUGAUGAGCACGGAUUGGUUGACCGAUCUGUGUUAGCUCUUGAGCG